rnacentral:pre_miRNA from 1 species
CGCUGCUGGCGAUGGUGAUGAUGAUGAUGAUGAUGAUGUAGAAACCAUUUUCUUCAUCAUCAUCAUCAUUAUCAUCAUCAUAGUCA